ACAGCUUUUUCGUGGCUUUUUUUUCCCUUGCCAAUAUGUUAGAUGACCUAAAAGAGGCGUUUUUGGCUUAUAUAUUGCGUACCAAAGUCGUGGGCCAAAGUUCUCCUAUUUCUAAUCCAAAUCAGAUUCAGGGAUUGAUGCUAGGGUGGAUGCGUCGCAUCCACCUCGUCCUCCACUUCUCAGCUUCGGAUGCUACGGUGGAUGCUUCGCAUCCACCUCUUCCUCCACUUCUCAGCUUCGGAUGCUACGGUGGAUGCUAUGGGCCGACUUCACUGCUAAGGGUGCACGAAAUCUGAUCUUUUUCUAGAUUGGAUGCGACGCAUCCAAUCUCUCUUCCUCUACCUAGAGCACCUUUUAUUCAUAUUUUUGCACUCCAAACACCCUAAUUCACCACACACAACUCAAUUAGUCAUAAAACCAAUAAUUAAACCAUGUUGGGCAUUUUAAAGAUCAAAUAACAUCAAGACGCGGUUAAAACAUGGGUAAAGUAACAUCAACACAUAUCGAAAUAUGCCAAACAUCAGUUUAUAUACAUAAAAAAACCUCAAAUCAUUUCUCUUUUUUGCGCUAGAGUAGUCCUUUGAAGUGGUCAUCAACUUGCAAUUUUGCUGCUACAUCAUUUGGUUUCUUAAUACAAACUUCCAGUAAAACUUUUCAUU
rnacentral:lncRNA from 1 species